GGAAGAACAACCAUGUCCAAACGGGGACUCGAACCCAGGACGCCCAGAUCACGGGGAAGACGCGCUACCCCUAUGCCAGGACGCCGGCGGGACGUUAAUAUAACUAAACUAAACGAUGCAAAGCUUUGUUUAUACAUGUAGUGACGAGCGCCAUCUGCUGGUUGUUAGACGGAGUUGACGCUGGUUAGACGGAGUGCAGAUUAGACGGAUCUGGAGGAGAGUAAAGACGUGUCAGAUCAGACGGAUCUGGACGAGAGAAAAGACGUGUCAGAUCAGACGGAUCUGGACGAAAGUAAAGACGAGACGCGACGUAUUCGACGAAAUCUACUGAAUGUUUAAUCCUUUUAUGUUAAUGUAUAUAUAUCCUAAAUGUCCUAAUCGUCCUAAAUGUAAUUAAAUGUGCGUUCUAAAA